AUUGAACGCUGGCGGCAGGCCUAACACAUGCAAGUCGAGCGGUAGAGAGAAGCUUGCUUCUCUUGAGAGCGGCGGACGGGUGAGUAAUGCCUAGGAAUCUGCCUGGUAGUGGGGGAUAACGUUCGGAAACGGACGCUAAUACCGCAUACGUCCUACGGGAGAAAGCAGGGGACCUUCGGGCCUUGCGCUAUCAGAUGAGCCUAGGUCGGAUUAGCUAGUUGGUGGGGUAAUGGCUCACCAAGGCGACGAUCCGUAACUGGUCUGAGAGGAUGAUCAGUCACACUGGAACUGAGACACGGUCCAGACUCCUACGGGAGGCAGCAGUGGGGAAUAUUGGACAAUGGGCGAAAGCCUGAUCCAGCCAUGCCGCGUGUGUGAAGAAGGUCUUCGGAUUGUAAAGCACUUUAAGUUGGGAGGAAGGGCAGUAAAUUAAUACUUUGCUGUUUUGACGUUACCGACAGGAUAAGCACCGGCUAACUCUGUG
rnacentral:rRNA from 1 species